rnacentral:rRNA from 1 species
AGUCGCCACGGGAAUACAGAGGGUGCGAGCGUUAAUCGGAUUUACUGGGCGUAAAGCGUGCGUAGGCGGCUUCUUAAGUCGGAUGUGAAAUCCCUGAGCUUAACUUAGGAAUUGCAUUCGAUACUGGGAAGCUAGAGUAUGGGAGAGGAUGGUAGAAUUCCAGGUGUAGCGGUGAAAUGCGUAGAGAUCUGGAGGAAUACCGAUGGCGAAGGCAGCCAUCUGGCCUAAUACUGACGCUGAGGUACGAAAGCAUGGGGAGCAAACAGGAUUAGAUACCCCAGUAGUCCCUGUCUCUUAUACA